rnacentral:rRNA from 1 species
UUUCGCAAUGCCCGAAAGGGUGACGAAGCGACGCCGCGUGUGGGAAGAAGGCCUUCGGGUUGUAAACCACUGUCGGGAGUUAAGAAAUGUAGGGAUGUUAAUAGCAUUCUUGCUUGACUAAGGCUCCGGAGGAAGCCACGGCUAACUCUGUGCCAGCAGCCGCGGUAAUACAGAGGCGGCAAGCGUUGUUCGGAAUUAUUGGGCGUAAAGAGCACGUAGGCGGCUGUGUAAGUCGGUUGUGAAAGCCUUCCGCUCAACGGAAGAACAGCAUCCGAUACUACAUGGCUUGAGUGCGGGAGGGGAGAGUGGAACUUCUGGUGGAGCGGUGAAAUGCGUAGAUAUCAGAAGGAACGCCGGCGGCGAAAGCGGCUCUCUGGCCCAUAACUGACGCUGAGUGUGCGAAAGCUAGGGGAGCAAACGGGAUUAGAUACCCCGGUAGUCCUAGCCGUAAACGAUGGGCACUAAGUAGAGGGGUUUU